CACGUAGGCACCAAGCGUUAUCCGGAAUUAUUGGGCGUAAAGGGUGCGUAGAUGGUAUGAUAAGUUAGCGGUGGGAAAUCGAGGCUCAACCUCGUGGAAGCUGGUAAUACUAUCGUGCUAGAGUGUAGGAGAGGUUAACGGAACUCCCCGUGGAGCGGUGAAAUGCAUAGAUAUGGGGAAGAACACCAAUAAUGGCGAAGGCAGUUAACUAUUCUACUACUGACAUUGAGGCACGAAAGCGUGGGGAGCAAAAAGG
rnacentral:rRNA from 1 species